rnacentral:misc_RNA from 1 species
UACGGAGGACCCAAGCGUUAUUCGGAUUUAUUGGGUUUAAAGGGUGCGUAGGCGGAUUAGUAAGUCAGGGGUGAAAUCCUACAGCUUAACUGUAGAACUGCCUUUGAUACUGCUAACCUUGAGUGCAGAUGAUGUGGGCGGAAUAUGACAUGUAGCGGUGAAAUGCUUAGAUAUGUCAUAGAACACCGAUUGCGAAGGCAGCUCACAAAACUGUAACUGACGCUGAGGCACGAAAGCAUGGGGAUCGAACAGG